rnacentral:rRNA from 1 species
GAUGAACGCUGGCGGCGUGCCUAAUACAUGCAAGUCGAGCGAACAGACGAGGAGUUUGCUCCUCUGACGUUAGCGGCGGACGGGUUAGUAACACGUGGAUAACCUACCUAUAAGACUGGGAUAACUUCGGGAAACCGGAGCUAAUACCGGAUAAUAUUUUGAACCGCAUGGUUCCAUAGCGAAAGACGGUUUUGCUGUCAUUUAUAGAUGGAUCCGCGCCGCAUUAGCUAGUUGGUAAGGUAACGGCUUACCAAGGCAACGAUGGGUAGCCGACCUGACAGGGUGAUCGGCCACACUGGAACUGAGACGCGGUCCAGACUCCUACGGGAGGCAGCAGUAGGGAAUCUUCCGCAAUGGGCGAAAGCCUGACGGAGCAACGCCGCGUGAAUGAUGAAGGUCUUCGGAUCGUAAAACUCUGUUAUUAGGGAAGAACAAAUGUGUAAGUAACUAUGCACAUCUUGACGGUACCUAAUCAGAAAGCCACGGCUAACUACGUG